rnacentral:lncRNA from 1 species
CAUUUGGAAGUUUACCCUAAUGUCACAUAUAUGCUCUGUCAAUAGUACAAUUCCCUGAUGUCACGUAACACCAACAUUCAUCGCUCAAUGCUAUCAUGCCUCUUUGUGCGUAAAUCUUAAAAGUACCAUUCAAACUUGCAUAUUGUACCGUACUGCUAGUCCCAAGCCAACAAAACAAGAGAUCUAAAUUUUGUUCCGAAAUGCCAGAAAACUAACUUCUGGUGAUU